CUUUUCUCUAAACCUAACUUCCUAACAUGCUUAAUUUUGAUUUCUGGCCUUAAUUCAUGCUUCUGUCAGUUGCCAAAAGAAACUUACUGUGGACUGGAUUUCAGUGGCCAAAAAUAAGAGAUUAAAGAAAUUUAAGGAUCUAAUAUCCGUUUCCUGAGGUUAGUGGCAAGUUAAUUGGGAUGCAUGUUUUACUUGUUGGAAUAUGUUAUCAUGAUUUUGGAAUUUGAUUGAAAUUUGUUACAUUAUUGUUCAUGUUUCUUAUAAUUGUUUAUUGCGGCUAGUUUGGUGUAGGAUGUUCUUUGUGUGGGAACAAGUUUAUUAGAGGAGUUGUUGGAGUCCCUAAAUCAGGUAACUUAGCAGGGUUUCUCAUUGACUGUGUUUUCUUGGAAUCUAUUAUUAGUAGGUAAUUAGGCAAUUAGGAUUGUGUUUGAAAAGGAGGCAUGGUUUGCUUGCCAAAAGUAUCUCCUAGAUAGUGAACUGAAGCAUGACUAAUUAAUGUCUAUGUCCAUACAUUUUUAUGGUUUAUGUAUACUUAUUAUAUGCCCUAUUUCAAUUCAUAUAGAGCUUUGUGAAAAAUUUGUUGAAUCUAAUUAUGGUUUGAGACUUGUGAGGUAUAUGAAUUUGUUGAAUCUAGGUGGAUUAGGGUUUUUGGUUGAAGUGACAUUUUGUAUUUUAUGCCUUUGUCUUGCUUUUAUUUUGGGAGAAUUACCAUUGUAUACCAACAUAUGAACUUAUUCAUAAAGAAUACCCCAUUAAUCAAGAGGUGAAUCCUGUCAUAAAAUGGUUAAAUCAUUCAUCACUUUAUAAUAGGAUAAACAACUCUGUAGUUAGUAAGUCCUUCUUUAUAAGUUCAUCACAAUGUUGUCCUUUAAUUAGAACCUUAACCUUUAUUAUGCCUUGGUUGUUAUUUACUUUUAUAGUUCUUGAUUGGUUUAAUUCAACACUGAUUAAAUUCUUUCACUAAAAUACUGUUCAGGUUAUUCUUGAAAGUAUGAUUAGAAUGCAUUGAUUGUGAUAAUUCCUAAGCUUCAGUGUGAUUAACAAGAAUUUCAAGUGAUCUCAGACGACUGUGAUACCAAAAAGGUAUGUAGUUGCUUAAUCAUUCUCAGAUUUCUAAUAUCAGUUUUAAAUUAGGAUGUUUUAUCUUAAUAGUUAAUUUCACAUGCUUGUGUUGUAACAAUAUCUUAAGAGAUUGGUCUGUAACUUAUAGUAGCUGUGUUAAUUGAUAUGUAUUGUGUUAGUAUUGGGUUGUAGAAACUAGAAGCUACAAAAGAGUGCAGAGCUUUGUCAAUAGUACGGAUGGAGUUUUACGCCGAAAGAAAAAUCUUGAUCUUCUAGAUGACACCUCUCAAUUUACUCAGGUUUCAUACAUCUUUGUAGGUCUAUAAUAUAAUAUAGCUACAUGCAUAUGUGAUAUGUUUUGAAUGUAAAGUUGUUUUUUGGUCUCUGAGAUAUAUAUAGUUGC
rnacentral:lncRNA from 1 species